rnacentral:rRNA from 1 species
UGUUGAAUUUUGGACAAUGGGCGCAAGCCUGAUCCAGCCAUGCCGCGUGCAGGAAGAAGCAUCUAUGGUGUGUAAACUGCUUUUGUACGGGAAGAAACACUCCUUCGUGAAGGAGCUUGACGGUACCGUAAGAAUAAGGAUCGGCUAACUCCGUGCCAGCAGCCGCGGUAAUACGGAGGAUCCAAGCGUUAUCCGGAAUCAUUGGGUUUAAAGGGUCCGUAGGCGGUUUAGUAAGUCAGUGGUGAAAGCCCAUCGCUCAACGAUGGAACGGCCAUUGAUACUGCUAGACUUGAAUUAUUAGGAAGUAACUAGAAUAUGUAGUGUAGCGGUGAAAUGCUGAGAUAUUACAUGGAAUACCAAUUGCGAAGGCAGGUUACUACUAAUGGAUUGACGCUGAUGGACGAAAGCGUGGGGAGUGAACA